UACGAAGGGGGCGAGCGUUGUUCGGAAUUACUGGGCGUAAAGGGCGCGUAGGCGGCCGAUCAAGUCAGAUGUGAAAGUCCUGGGCUUAACCUGGGGACUGCAUUUGAUACUGAUUGGCUUGAAUGCAGGAGAGGAUAGCGGAAUUCCCAGUGUAGAGGUGAAAUUCGUAGAUAUUGGGAAGAACACCGGUGGCGAAGGCGGCUAUCUGGGUAGAUACUGACGCUGAGGUGCGCAAGCGUGGGGAGCAAACAGG
rnacentral:rRNA from 1 species